rnacentral:rRNA from 1 species
CAGAGGGCAGCCAAGUCGUGAGGCGGAGCUAAUCCCUUAAAGCCAUUCUCAGUUCGGAUUGUAGGCUGAAACUCGACUGCAUGAAGCUGGAAUCGCUAGUAAUCGCGGAUCAGAAUGCCGCGGUGAAUACGUUCCCGGGUCUUGUACACACCGCCCGUCAAGCCAUGGGAGCCGGGGGUACCUGAAGUGCGUAACCGCGAGGAGCGCCCUAGGGUAAAACUGGUGACUGGGGCUAAGUCGUAACAAGGUAUC